rfam:TPA: Bos taurus chromosome X, whole genome shotgun sequence.
UCCCUGGUGGCUUAGACAGUAAAGAAUCUGCCUGCAAUGCAGGAAACCCAGGUUCGAUCUCUGGGUCAGGAAG